CCACACCUAAAAAUCUUUCCACGUGAAUUGUUUUGUUGUAAGUUGGGCUUCGCUGGCGUGUUCUGUUUUCGGACGGAGCGCAACGGCUUGAGGCCAUCAGGGCGUUUAUUGUGUCGUGCAGUAUUCGCUCUUUUUGUAAACCCAUUUUUGAUGAAACUGAUUAUACUGUGGGGACGAAAGUCUCUGCUUUUAACUAGAUAGCAACUUUCAGCAGUGGAUGUCUAGGCUCGCACAUCGAUGAAGAACGCUGCGAACUGCGAUACGUAAUGCGAAUUGCAGGAUUCAGUGAGUCAUCGAAAUUUUGAACGCAUAUUGCACUUUCGGGUUUUGCCUGGAAGUAUGUCUGUAUCAGUGUCCGUACACUAAACUUGCCUUUCUUGCGUCGUGUAGUCGUCGCUUGGAACGAGCAGAUGUGAGGUGUCUUGCGUGGUCGUUUCUUUCUUCUUUUUUUUUUUGGAAGCAGACUUGCAAGUCCCUUUAAAGUCGGACGUGUUUCUCUAUUGUGUGCUGUGGCAGCUUUGGUGGCGUGCGGGACGUUGUCUGUUGACGAGUCUGGCGACCUUUGGCGCUUUGCAUUGUGGGGAUUCCUCGAUUGGCGGUAUGUUAGGCUUCGGCUUUGACAAUGCAGCUUAUUGUGUGUUUCUUCUAGCUCGUGCUGUAUGGGGUGAACCGGAUGGUCUUUGGGCGUGUUGUUUUGCGUGUCUGUCUGGAGUUGUGCUGGCGUGCUUUGGGGGCGGUCACCAUUUGGGAACUGAAUGUUUGCAAAAAAACAUCUCAAUUGGACCUGAUAUCAGACAAG
rnacentral:rRNA from 1 species